CUAGCCUCUGAUUUGCACAGGGCCAGAACCUGACUGCAGAAACAGUGUUACAGGUGGCUGGAGUUGUAAAUCAUCCAAACUGAGCAUGAGUUGGCAGGACAACUUGAGGUUGGUCACAGGGACUCUCAGUCUACUGGUGGUCAUGGUUUUUGGCCAUGACUUCUAUCAUUCUUUGCGUCACAUUAUGCUCCUCUUUGGCCCCCUCAGUGAGGCAGAGCAUGGUCAAAGUCAGCAAGUGUUCCAUAUCACCCUCUUUGUCUACCUUGAAGGUGAAAGAAUGGGUGUGGCUGGACACUUCACAGCUGAAGGAAAAACUAUCCACAAUUACUAGAGCGGGGACUUGCAGACCGCCCUCCACCAGCUCUCCUGAUUCAAGAAUGCUAAGGCAGCAGCUGUGCCAGUGGCCAUGCUACAGUCUCACUGUGGUUUCGAUUUAUAGUUCCCUGAUGACUAAUGAUGGGGCAUCCACAGACAUUUGAAAUAGAAGGAGCAAUUUGGAUCAUCUUAACCUGGCA
rnacentral:lncRNA from 1 species